GCCCAAGCACCACUGAAUCAUUAUCCGUUAGUGAGUCCGAACGUGAAAGCUGAAGAAGUAAUCAUUGCCUCUCUCUCGCUCCCAGCAUCACGUUUCAGAAACUCUACUCAUCUCCAGAUCAACCGCAAAUAUGGCUGACGUUGAUUCGCUCCCGGAAUUCCUCGCGUCUGCAAUCGAUGCUGCUCGGAAAGCUGGCGAGGUCAUUCGAAAAGCGUUCUACGAGACCAAACAUGUGGAGCAUAAAGGACAGGUUUGCACUGCAAAUGCGCUUCUACCAAACUUCGUUUUUUCCCCUAGUGAUUGAUUAUGGGUCCCAUUUGUCACCUGCCUACACAAAAGUAGAUUUUUAUUAUUUUAAAUUUUAAUGCUUCUUUAUCAUCAAGUUCAUACCAAUUCGUGCAUUGUUAUCACCAAGGGGUAUAUAGAUUUUUAAUCUCUAUAGAUUGAAAGGACGGGAAAAUCAUUUCUGCCAUGGCCGGUGCCUCACCGGCCAGCAUUAUGGGGCUACCGUUGAUUGUUCUGAGGAUUUAUUGUAAUUUACUCUAAAAUCUUGAAUUUAUUUA